rnacentral:rRNA from 1 species
AGUGAACGCUGGCGGUAGGCCUAACACAUGCAAGUCGAACGGCAGCACAGUAAGAGCUUGCUCUUACGGGUGGCGAGUGGCGGACGGGUGAGGAAUACAUCGGAAUCUACUUUUUCGUGGGGGAUAACGUAGGGAAACUUACGCUAAUACCGCAUACGACCUACGGGUGAAAGCAGGGGAUCUUCGGACCUUGCGCGAUUGAAUGAGCCGAUGUCGGAUUAGCUAGUUGGCGGGGUAAAGGCCCACCAAGGCGACGAUCCGUAGCUGGUCUGAGAGGAUGGUAAGCCACACUGGAACGGAACCACGGUCCAGACUCCUACGGGAGGCAGCAGUGGGGAAUAUUGGACAAUGGGCGCAAGCCUGAUCCAGCCAUACCGCGUGGGUGAAGAAGGCCUUCGGGUUGUAAAGCCCUUUUGUUGGGAAAGAAAAGCAGCAGGUUAAUACCCCGCUGUUCUGACGGUACCCAAAGAAUAAGCACCGGCUAACUUCGUG